AACAAACGGGCCCUAACCAAAGUCUCCACAUCUCAAUUGUCAAACUCAGUAAAGCGCACUUGUGUGUUUUCAUCUGAAAAGUACACGAAGGCAAAGCCUUCUUCUUCCUAAUCCUUGUUUGGCAUGUCCUUGUUAUAACAGAAACAGCUUCUAAACAAAGCAGACAAAGCACAAUCACCAAAUAACAAUUGGGAAAUAAAGGAAAUAAAAAACACACUCAAACUCAAAGGGCAAUCCAACUGUGACCUCGUUCGAGCCAGGUGAAAACAUUGUCUGAAAAUUAGGGUUUUAGGUUUUGGAUUGAAGAUCAUGUAUUCUGUCAUCUGGGUUUUGCUGGAGAAUUCAAGGUUUCAAUGAGGAUCUGGAUUUGGUGAGUUUUAGCAAGUGGAGGGGAAGAAAUGGUGCCCAAUCAAAGCUAUACUCGUAUCGACACUUUAGAGCUGAAAGGUCUGAUUAUCCAAAGGAUUGGGCAUCAGAGAGCUGAGAAAUACUUUGAUCUGAUCAGGAGAUUGUUUAGUUCAAAGAUUAGCAAGUGUGAAUUCGACAAGUUUUGCAAUCGGACUAUUGGGAGGGAAAAUGUCCAUCUUCAUAACCGACUUAUCAAAUCAAUUAUCAAGAAUGCCUGCCUUGCAAAAGUUCCACCCUUGACAGGUAUUAAGAAAGGGGGUAGUACCCUGAAUGUUAAAGUGGCGAAUGGCUGUCAGAAGAAUGGUUUUCAAUCAGUUAAUGCGGAUGCAUUUCCUCAAUCUCCUCGCAAGGGCAGGUCUCCAGUUAAUCGGGAACGCAAGUUCCGGGACCGCCCAAGCCCUUUGGGGCCAAAUGGAAAGCCCCAAAAUUUGGCAUCUGAGGAGUUCAUUUCUAAAGCACUGGAGCAGCAAAGCGCUAGUGAAUUGCUUUCUCUUGGAAGCAGACCUCCUGUUGAAGUUGCCUCUGUAGAAGAUGGAGAAGAGGUCGAACAGGACGCAGGAAGCCCAUCUAUUCAAAGUAGAAGCCCAGUAACAGCUCCUCUAGGUAUAAAUUUGGGUGGAUCACGUAAAGCUCUUCCUAAUGUAUCAUUGUGUAGUACUUACCACCCUGAGACCUGUCAAAACUGUGGCGAGCUACCUGAUACAAGAUCAUUAAGAAGUCGUUUGGAGCGGAAGUUGGAAUUGGAGGGCGUUAGUGUCUCUGUAGACUGUGUUAACCUCUUGAAUAAUGGAUUAGAUGCUUACCUAAAGAGAUUAAUAGAACCUUGUAUUCAGCUAGCUGGGACAAGGCAUGGCAAUGAGCACUUAAAACAACUAAGUGGCUCAUACCCGUACAAAGAUGGUUUGAAUGGGAUGUCACUUCCGAGAAAUAUGCAAAGAGAAAGAAAAUCUACUUAUGUGACUGUAUCGGAUUUUUCUACCUCAGUUGAGCUAAAUCCCCAGAUACUCGGUGCAGAUUGGGCCAUACAGCGUGAGAAGAUUGUCUUGUGUGCUUCUGAAGAGUGAAAUAAAUCAUUGCACACAUUCAGCGGUUGAUGAGAUGGCGAGACAUGAAAUUGCACCAUCAGUUAUUCAUAGUUCAGUGUUUUGGAUCAAUUUUUUAACCUUACACGGAUUUUUAGUCUCUGCCUGGAUUUCUCCUCUUCCCUCACUCGGAGCACUGAUACUUAACUGACAUAAUGGUGUGUGCAGUCCUUGACGUGAUCAAUGCCUAGGCUUAUGUGAGCAAAGUUCUUGAGAAGGCAUCUCUUUGAUUGAGGGGUCGCUUCAAUUUUCUUUUAGUGAAGAAAUGCAUAUCCAAAGGCGGUUGCAAGCCUGCUGUAAAUUAUAACAGUGAAGAGCUGCUGUCUGAACUUUGUACGUAAUGAAGUUAGCAGUUGACAAUAAAAUACAAUGUUCUGUGUAAUUCCACUUUCGUAUCGGCAAUAUAACUGUAUAGAGGCCGUCAAAAUAAAGAAAAAUGAGUGAGGAUCAGUUCAAGUUUGAAGAAAGCCUUAAAUGCAAAGUUUGUGGUGUUUCCUACAUGGACCUCGCCAGUUGAUUGAUGGAGCUGGCAAAGAGAAGGUGGGUGGCUUGGUCUGCUCAGCUAUACAAUUUGGAAGAAAUUUUGAGCGUCUGCAAUAUGAACGUUGUUGUUUUACUGUAACUUUUUUUUUGAGAUUCUUAUCUAGACACCCUGUAAUACUUCUCUUGUAUGUAAUUCUUUGGUUUAAUAAAAGUCAUAUCCAUUAACUCAAA